UGAAUGACCGUAGGUGGAGUUGUUCGGAAAUCUAUUCCCUAUAGAGAAUAUGUGCAAGGGUGGACAGCAAAAUUAAAAAAUUCAGAAGAUUUGCACUUUUCUAGAGAAUAAAAGUUUUUUUGCUAAAAUAAUGAGUCAGA
ensembl:ncRNA C04H4.3 ncRNA